UCUUUUCCUGUUUUCCCUGCAGAUUCGAAGGCGUUUUUUGGAGUAGCCACAGAAGGUCCGAGAUUCAUUCGUCCUGCAGGCGAUCUGACUUCACAACAUUUCAGCAUCAUAUUUCUGUCUAUUGGGCUUCUUGUUCUUGUUCUGCUGAGCAUGGUUUUCUGCCGCGUUUACUGUAAUUGGCACGCAAAGUUGAGAUCGGUGAGGACAACGGAGCAGACGGUUUGAACAACCUGCGGACGAUGAGGAGGAGACGAUGAAGAUGGACCAAAGCUUGAAGACGUGUCGGCUCUAAAAUACUGAUUAUUGUUAAAAAUCACUAGUAAUAAAAGGUAUAAUAAAUUUUUAUCAUAAAAAAGGCUAAUUAAAAAUUAAAUAAAAAC